rnacentral:siRNA from 1 species
CAUUUUGAUAUUAUUCUGCCAUGC